CACACACACGCACACACACACACACACACACAGAGCGAGAGAGAGAGAGAGAGAGAGAGAUGCACCCCUUCCAGAGUAAUAAUAUUAGGGUUGGCCUGACUACUUUACUAAACAUGUGAUCACGCCGUGUCGAUGCUUACAGCGUCAGUGCCGCUUCACAGAAGCAGAACAUCUAAAGCAGCACAGCCGACUAGUAGGUAAGCCAAGAUGGACCUGAAGGACCAGAGCGCUCAAAUGGAGCCGCUGCUUCCCACGGUAAUAACACCUUCCCGAGGAAGAAGUGUGAGAGGGGAUGAGGAGGCAGUGGUGGACAGAGGAGGCACUCGCUCCAUGCCGAAGGCCGAUUUAGAACAAGAGGAGCUUGAAGGUCACAGAACAUUGUAUAUCGGGGUGCAUGUGCCUCUGGGACGCCGAAGCCACAGACGCCACCGCCAUCAUGGCCACAGACACAGAAAGAGGAGCAGGGAGAGAGACUCAGGAGUGUGUGAUGGACAAGAAUCACCUGCAUAUGACACACCCUCUCAGAGGGUCCAGUUUCUGCUUGGAACUGAGGAUGAUGAUGAAGAGCACAUUCCACAUGACCUCUUCACUGAGCUGGAUGAAAUCUGUCUGCGUGAUGGAGAGGAUGCUGAGUGGAGGGAGACAGCUAGAUGGCUGAAGUUUGAGGAGGAUGUGGAGGAUGGAGGGGAGAGGUGGAGUAAGCCCUAUGUGGCCACACUCUCUCUGCACAGCUUAUUUGAGUUGCGCAGCUGCAUCAUCAAUGGCACAGUGCUACUCGACAUGAGGGCCAAUUCCCUAGAGGACAUUGCAGACAUGGUGUUGGACCAACAGGAAGCAUUGGGGGAGCAUGGUGAGGAGGUGAGAAAGAAAGUCCGAGAGGCUCUGCUCAAGCAGCACCACCAUCAAAACCAGAAGAAGCUGGCCAACCGUAUUCCUAUAGUACGCUCUUUUGCUGACAUCGGCAAGAAACAGUCCGAAUCUAACUCUAUGGACAAGAACGGCCAGAUGAUCCUUCCUCAGACCCAGCCUAGUGCACCUGACCUCAAGCCAGAGGUCACAAGAGACUGCAGUAGUGUGGAUUUCAGUAAGAUAGACCUGCACUUCAUGAAGAAAAUCCCUGCUGGAGCUGAGGCCUCUAAUAUCCUGGUAGGAGAGCUGGAAUUCUUGGAGAAACCUGUAGUGGCAUUUGUACGUCUCUCACCUGCUGUACUUCUCAAUGGCCUGGCAGAAGUUCCCAUAACCACCAGGUUCCUCUUUAUUCUUCUUGGGCCUCUGGGCAAAGGACCACAGUACCAUGAGAUCGGCAGGUCCAUCGCAACCCUGAUGACUGAUGAGGUCUUCCAUGAUGUUGCAUAUAAAGCUAAGGACCGCAAUGAUCUGGUGGCUGGAAUUGAUGAGUUCCUCGACCAAGUAACAGUUCUACCCCCUGGUGAAUGGGACCCGUCUAUCAGAAUCGAGCCGCCGAAAAACGUCCCUUCUCAGGAGAAGAGAAAAAUCCCUGCUGUCCCCAACGGAGAGCUGGCAGAGACUGAGGAACAUGGGGGGCAUGGAGGCCCUGAGCUACAGCACACCGGGAGGCUGUUUGGUGGGUUUAUUCUGGAUCUAAAGCGCAAGGCACCACAUUACCUAUCUGACUACACGGAUGCCAUCAGCCUGCAAUGUGUGGCUUCUUUCCUCUUCCUCUACUGUGCCUGCAUGUCUCCUGUCAUCACAUUCGGAGGACUGCUGGGGGAGGCCACAGAGGGACGCAUUAGUGCUAUCGAGUCUCUAUUUGGUGCAUCGAUGACUGGAAUCGCUUACUCCCUGUUUGCGGGCCAGCCUCUUACAAUCCUUGGCAGCACUGGUCCUGUGCUGGUUUUUGAGAAGAUUUUAUUCAAAUUCUGCAAGGAGUACGGAUUGUCCUAUCUAUCUCUGAGGACAUGCAUUGGCCUUUGGACUGCUUUUCUCUGUAUGCUGCUUGUGGCUACUGAUGCCAGCUCACUCGUUUGCUACAUCACUCGUUUUACAGAAGAAGCCUUUGCCUCAUUAAUCUGCAUCAUUUUCAUCUAUGAGGCUCUGGAGAAGCUGAUCCAUCUCGGCGAGACCUACCCUAUCAACAUGAACAACAACCUUGAGAAACUCACCACCUAUUCUUGUGCUUGUAUAGAGCCUGUGAACCCCAGCAAUGCCACCCUGCAGUAUUGGGAGCAGAACAACAUCACAGCAUCAGAGAUCUACUGGGAGGCUCUGGAAGUGCAGGACUGCAUAGAGAAGAAGGGGGUGUUUGUGGGCUCAGCCUGUGGGCCUCAUGGUCCCUACAUCCCUGAUGUACUCUUCUGGUCUGUUGUGCUCUUCUUCUCCACUGUGGCCAUGUCUGCAUUCCUUAAAGAAUUCAAGACCAGCCGAUAUUUUCCCACCAAGGUCAGAGCAAUCAUCAGUGAUUUUGCUGUGUUUAUUACCAUUCUGACCAUGGUUCUGGUGGACUAUGCUUUAGGUGUCCCCUCAGCCAAACUGCAGGUCCCUAACAAGUUUAAGCCAACACGAGAUGACCGAGGUUGGUUUAUGAACCCAGUGGGUCCGAACCCCUGGUGGACUUGUAUUAUAUCGGUGAUCCCUGCUCUUCUCUGUACCAUCCUUAUCUUCAUGGACCAGCAGAUCACUGCGGUCAUCAUUAACAGGAAGGAACACAAACUUAAGAAAGGCUGUGGUUACCACCUGGAUCUGUUUGUGGUGAGUGUGAUGCUGGGUGUGUGCUCACUGAUGGGGCUGCCCUGGUUCGUGGCAGCUACAGUGCUUUCUAUCUCACACGUCAACAGCCUGAAGCUGGAGUCUGAGAGCUCAGCCCCAGGAGAGCAGCCUAAGUUUCUUGGCAUCAGAGAGCAGCGGUUAACUGGCCUUAUGAUUUUUCUCCUGAUGGGAUGCUCUGUCUUCAUGACCUCCGUUCUUAAGUUUAUUCCCAUGCCUGUGCUAUAUGGAGUAUUUCUUUACAUGGGAGCAUCAUCACUACGAGGAAUACAGUUCUUCGACAGGUUGAGGCUGUUUGGGAUGCCAGCUAAGCACCAGCCAGACUUCAUCUAUCUGAGGCAUGUUCCUCUGAGAAAGGUUCACCUGUUCACCAUCAUCCAGCUCAGCUGCUUGGUGCUCCUCUGGGUCAUUAAAACAUCUCGCGCCGCCAUUGUCUUUCCUAUGAUGGUUCUUGCUCUGGUAUUUAUCCGGAAGUUGCUGGAUUUCAUCUUCACUAAGAGAGAGAUGAGCUGGCUGGAUGACCUCAUGCCAGAAAGUAAGAAAAAGAAAAUGGAGGAUGCUGAAAAAGAGGAGGAGCAAAGUAUUCUGGCAGAAGAAGAGGGAGUAGUACAAGUGCCGUUGGAAGGACAUUACAAGGAUGAUCCUUCAUCUGUGAACAUCACAGAUGAGAUGUCUAAAGCCUCAUUUGGAAACACUUGGAAGGCUGUCAGCUCUGAUGGCUCAAAAAAGUGAAACGACCACAAAAAGCAUCAGCCUCCAUCUUAAGCUGUUUUUCUUACUCUCCUAGUUGCUGUGCACUUAAGUUUACACAGCGGCAAUAGAAGUCAAGGACAUGAAAGAAAAGAAAGCUUCAACAUAAUGACAAGCCUCUGACCUGCGUCUCCAUCACACACAAAAACACACUGAUAUCAUGUGCCACAUGUUUCUGCUCUUGUAUGUCUUUGUUCCUUUCUCUUUAGUGCGUCGGUAGAUUAAAAAAAAAGUAAUACUGUAGGCAUGGUUGAAAAAUGGUCAGUUUCUUUAUUUAAAGUCCAUUUUCUGUUUACUAAAAUAAAAUAAUACCAGCAGGUGAAGGUGAGGAAUGGUGAUUCUGUGAAAGUUAUGGAGCGUGUAUGUUUGAAAACUUAAAGACUAUUUUAAAUGGAUUUUUAUGUAUUUUCUAUGUUUUGUAUUUGUAAAUGUUACAGUCUUCUCCCUGUUAUCCAACAUAUAACUAAACUAAACUAGAAACUGAAACAAAUAUUCAAAAGAUUAGUAGUAGAUUUAACCCAUGAAUGUCCAUGUUAAGAGUUAGCACUAUAUACAUGCAUUCUUUAUCAUUAUCAUCAUCAUCAUCGACAUUAUUAUUGUUAUUAUUAUUAUUGUUAUUAUUAUUAUUAAUGCUGGAUGUAUCAAAUUGUCAUUAUUAUAUUUUUCUUUCUUUUUGAGGUAGAAUAAAUGGCAAACUAUAGUACCAUAUAUUAUUUUGUUAUAAGAGUAUUGCCUCCGAAUUGAGGCUUAGGCUAUUACAUUGCAAUUAUAAAAGAUUUUAUCAUUUUAAUUAUGUAUUUGCUAUAUUUUCAGACGAGAAUACUACAUAAUGAGAUGCAUUUAAUGAGAUUUAUGUUGGUCUAUCUAGAGAAUGAUUUUGUAGGUUGUGUGUUGAUUCUGUCAAUAUGCCAAAGUCCAAAUCAAUUUUCCUGAUAGCUGGGUUAUUGCUCAUCUCUGAUUAAAUAAUGCCACAUGGCAGUUUCUCAGUACCAGUAUUUUAUAGACAGGAACAUUCUGAAGCUUUAUUUCGUUGGGGAAGCAGAACUGGCACAGAAAUGACAGAAAUUUGCUAUAAAUAUUCUGAAGGGCAUUUCUCUAUAGGUCAUAUUCUCCAGCUCAAGGUUUUUCUCAGAGAAUCUAUCAAGGGCAUAAUAUAACUUGAGAAUAAAUGCAAUAUUAAUCUAGAAAGGUCAAAUAAAUGGUUUAUAAGUGUGGAUUCACUUUGUAAAUACAUGUUCACCUGUACAUUCUUGCACUUUUAGGAUUUAUAAUUUUUUUCUCUUAAAAGUAAUCAAAAUUAGAGCUCUUUAGUAUGCUUUGAUGUUAGUGGAUGUUGAAUAAGCAGUUACAAUAAGCAUCUUUUUUUCAAGAAGGAAUAUAAACUGACAGUUACAUAUUUUUCCAUGUUUCAUUAAUUUAUUGAAAUCAAUUUAUUUUGACUUGAUACAAUGUUAAAAUAGCUAUUCUAUGUAUAAGCUGUUUAGAUGUUAUUGUUUGCGUUAAUGAAUGUAUGGCUAAUAAAUAAAUCUGUAUAACCU